UGACCCGGAGGCAUUUUUUAUGGUUUCGAACAAGUGGACUCUUAAUCCCUUGGUUACAGGUUCGAGUCCUGUGCGGGUCAU
rnacentral:tRNA from 1 species